rnacentral:rRNA from 1 species
UGGCUCAGGAUGAACGCUAGCUACAGGCUUAACACAUGCAAGUCGAGGGGCAGCAUUGAGAUAGCUUGCUAUUCAGAUGGCGACCGGCGCACGGGUGAGUAACGCGUAUCCAACCUUCCCCAUAGUAGAGAAUAGCCCGGCGAAAGUCGGAUUAAUGCUCUAUGUUUUCCAAUGCAGACAUCUAAAAUGGAACAAAGGUUUACCGCUAUAGGAUGGGGAUGCGUCUGAUUAGAUAGUAGGCGGGGUAACGGCCCACCUAGUCUUCGAUCAGUAGGGGUUCUGAGAGGAAGGUCCCCCACAUUGGAACUGAGACACGGUCCAAACUCCUACGGGAGGCAGCAGUGAGGAAUAUUGGUCAAUGGGCGAGAGCCUGAACCAGCCAAGUAGCGUGCAGGAUGACGGCCCUAUGGGUUGUAAACUGCUUUUAUAUAGGGAUAAAGUGCACUACGCGUAGUGUUUUGUAGGUACUAUAUGAAUAAGGACCGGCUAAUUCCGUGCCAGCCGCGGC